CAUUCUCUCUCUCUCGAUCAGGUAAAAAAGGUAAAUUUCAGAUUUCUUAGGAAUAUCGCGUUACUUGCUGAUAUUCUAUUUUCGGUUGAGAGAAUACAAAUUGCGAUAAUGGUGUAUCCUCGCAAUCCCAGUAACGAUGAUUAUCCGGGUUGUAUUGUUGUUCCUGGUCUCCGCUUCCCACAUCGCUCCUUUGGAGCCAAUGAUUAUCACCUUCAUUUAAUUUCUCUAUCUCUCUGUGUUUGUUGUUGGUUGCUGUACGUAUAGCUCAUUUAUCUUCAUGUUUUCACCUCACUAGACUCCACCUCCGCGACGUUUUGAAGAAGAUGACUAAGAAGAAGAAGACUAAGAAGCCCGUCAUGAAAAGCGAAGCCUCCCCUUAAGGGCUUAGGCCUCCCUUCGCUUGUCCCUUUCUCUUUUGCUUCCCAUGUUUGUAACUUAAAAAAAUUUGCAAUGCUUUAUGACUGAACCUUUUAUGUGAUGACGAUAUGAGUUUUUGAGAACUCUCCCCUAAUGUUAUUUUCAUUCGGUGAUA